UACGUAGGCAGCGAGCGUUGUUCGGAGUUACUGGGCGUAAAGGGUGUGUAGGCGGUUGUUUAAGGUUGGUGUGAAAUCUCCCGGCUCAACUGGGAGGGUGCGCCGAAUACUGAAUGACUUCGAGUGCGGGAGAGGAGAGUGGAAUUCCUGGUGUAGCGGUGAAAUGCGUAGAUAUCAGGAGGAACACCGGUGGUGUAGACGGCUCUCUGGACCGUAACUGACGCUGAGACACGAAAGCGUGGGUAGCAAACAGG
rnacentral:rRNA from 1 species